rnacentral:lncRNA from 1 species
CAUAAACUGUCCUAAAUUACUAGAAAAACGAGAAGCCUUUCAUACAUUAGAAAUUAUGUCAAAGCAUUACACGCACCAUUAUCUAGAACUUGCAAUUGUAUUUUUGAAUCUAUCGAGAUAAGAUACUUUAUGUGCAAGUAUUUUCGUUUUCUUAUGCUUUUAUAUUUCAAUUAAAUAUGCAUGGAUUGCUACUGGACCUUCGAGAAAAAGAGAGAUGAAAUCCUACGGGAUUAUAAGAGGAGAUGGGUGUGUCGCUUGAUCACCAAUAUACUUCAUAAGAGUAGAGUGGUAUGAAGUGUAGGUUUUAUUUGUUAUAUAAUUGUGUAUGAAAAAUGCACGUAUCUUAUUGGGUAUUUUUAAAUACUCACUCAUACAAAAUUUUCAGAUUAGUUUUCGUUAAUUAGAACUGUGGCGAGAUAGUGAUGCGGAUUGCCAAGAGAAGUCGAAAGGGAAAAGUACUAAACUUUUUUGGUUGUCUUUAAAUUUAUUAGUUAGUUUAAUUUAUUCAAAGACAUGUUAUUUAAUUAGUUAGUUGUCUAUGUUAAUAUUUUUUUAAGAUAAAAUUUUCCAUAUUUAGUUUAAAUUUUUGGAUAUUUCAGCAGUUUAUUUUUGAAGAAAUCUAUUUUUAUCGUUC